rnacentral:rRNA from 1 species
GGCCGGGCAAGACCGGUGCCAGCCGCCGCGGUAAUACCGGCGGCUCGAGUGGUGGCCACUAUUACUGGGCUUAAAGCGUUCGUAGCUGGCUUGUUAAGUCUCUGGGGAAAUCUUCCGGCUCAACCGGAAGGCGUCUCAUGGAUACUGGCAGGCUAGGGACCGGGAGAGGUGAGAGGUACUCCCGGGGUAGGAG